rnacentral:rRNA from 1 species
AGAGUUUGAUCAUGGCUCAGGAUGAAUGCUGGCGGCGUGCCUAACACAUGCAAGUCGAGCGGCAGCGAGGGGUGCUUGCACCCUGUCGGCGAGCGGCGAACGGCUGAGUAACGCGUAGGAAUUUGCCCCAAAGUGAGGAAUAACUGCCCGAAAGGGUAGCUAAUGCCGCAUAUGGUCUUCGGAUUAAAGGAUUUAUCCGCUUUGGGAGAAGCCUGCGUUGGAUUAGGUAGUUGGUAGGGUAAUGGCCUACCAAGCCGACGAUCCAUAGCUGGUCUGAGAGGAUGAUCAGCCAGACUGGAACUGAGACACGGUCCAGACUCCUACGGGAGGCAGCAGUGAGGAAUCUUCCACAAUGGGCGAAAGCCUGAUGGAGCAACGCCGCGUGAAGGAUGAAGGCCUUCGGGUUGUAAACUUCUUUUAUGAGUGAAGAAUAUGACGGUAACUCAUGAAUAAGCACCGGCUAACUACGUGCCAGCAGCCGCGGUCAUACGUAGGGUGCGAGCAUUAUCCGAAGUGACUGGGCGUAAAGAGUUGCGUAGGCGGUUUAAUAAGUGAAUAGUGAAACCUGGUGGCUCAACCAUACAGACUAUUAUUCAAACUGUUAAACUCGAGAAUGGUAGAGGUAACUGGAAUUUCUUGUGUAGGAGUGAAAUCCGUAGAUAUAAGAAGGAACACCAAUGGCGUAGGCAGGUUACUGGGCCAUUUCUGACGCUAAGGCACGAAAGCGUGGGGGAGCGAACCGGAUUAGAUACCCGGGUAGUCCACGCCGUAAACGAUGGAUACUAGCUGUUGGAGGUAUCGACCCCUUCAGUAGCGAAGCUAACGCGUUAAGUAUCCCGCCUGUGGAGUACGGCCGCAAGGCUAAAACAUAAAGGAAUUGACGGGGACCCGCACAAGCGGUGGAUUAUGUUCUUUAAUUCGAUGAUAACCGAAGAACCUUACCAGGGCUUGACAUCCAGGGAAGGUCUGCGAAAGUAGACUGUGCCUUUUGGAACCCUGUGAUAGGUGAUGCAUGGCCGUCGUCAGCUCGUGUCGUGAGAUGUUAGGUUAAGUCCUUCAACGAGCGCAACCCUUGUGAAUAGUUGUAUUUUUCUAUUCAGACUGCCCCGGUAACGGGGAGGAAGGAGGGGAUGAUGUCAGGUCAGUAUUUCCCUUACGUCCUGGGCUAGAAACGUAAUACAAUGGCUAGUACAAUGCGCAGCGAAGCCGCGAGGUGAAGCAAAUCGCAUCAAAGCCAGUCCCAGUUCGGAUUGCAGGCUGAAACUCGCCUGCAUGAAGUCGGAAUCGCUAGUAAUCGCAAAUCAGCAAGUUGCGGUGAAUACGUUCCCGGGUGUUGUACACACCGCCCGUCA